UACGAGGGGGGCGAGCGUUGUUCGGAAUUAUUGGGCGUAAAGGGUGCGUAGGCGGUUUGGUAAGUCUUGUGUGAAAUCUACAGGCUCAACUUGUAGUCUGCACGAGAAACUGCCGGGCUUGAGUAUGGGAGAGGUGAGUGGAAUUCCUGGUGUAGCGGUGAAAUGCGUAGAUAUCAGGAAGAACACCCGUGGCUAAGGCGGCUCUCUAGUACGGUACUGACGCUGAGACGCGAAAGCGUGGGGAGCGAACAGG
rnacentral:rRNA from 1 species